rnacentral:rRNA from 1 species
UACGGAGGGUGCAAACGUUGCUCGGAAUCAUUGGGCGUAAAGCGCACGUAGGCGGCGAAGCAAGUCGGGUGUGAAAGCCCUGGGCUCAACCCAGGAAGUGCAUUCGAAACUAUUUCGCUUGAAUCUCGGAGGGGGUCAGAGAAUUCCCGGUGUAGAGGUGAAAUCCGUAGAUAUCGGGAGGAAUACCAGUGGCGAAGGCGCUGACCUGGACGAAGAUUGACGCUGAGGUGCGAAAGCGCGGGGAGCAAACAGG